GAUGAACGCUGACAGAAUGCUUAACACAUGCAAGUCUUUGGCGAAUCUGUGCUUGCACAGGCUAGCCAAGGCGGACGGGUGAGUAACGCGUAAAGAACUUGCCCUGCAGACAGGGAUAACAGACGGAAACGACUGAUAACACCUGAUACAGUUGCCGGCACGCAUGUGCCCGGCAAUGAAAAGAGAUGCUGCAGGAGAGCUUUGCGUCCUAUUAGCUUGUUGGUGAGGUGACGGCUCACCAAGGCGAUGAUAGGUAGCCGGCCUGAGAGGGUGAACGGCCACAAGGGGACUGAGAUACGGCCCUUACUCCUACGGGAGGCAGCAGUGGGGAAUAGUGGACAAUGGGGGCAACCCUGAUCCAGCAAUUCUGUGUGCACGAAGAAGGUUUUCGGAUUGUAAAGUGCUUUCAGCAGGGAAGAAGAAAGUGACGGUACCUGCAGAAGAAGCGACGGCUAAAUACGUG
rnacentral:rRNA from 1 species